rnacentral:rRNA from 1 species
CACGUAGUUAGCCGGUGCUUAUUCUGCAGGUACCGUCAGUUGCGCAUGGUAUUAGCACGCGCCGUUUCUUUCCCGCCAAAAGUGCUUUACAACCCGAAGGCCUUCAUCGCACACGCGGGAUGGCUGGAUCAGGGUUUCCCCCAUUGUCCAAAAUUCCCCACUGCUGCCUCCCGUAGGAGUCUGGGCCGUGUCUCAGUCCCAGUGUGGCUGGUCGUCCUCUCAAACCAGCUACGGAUCGCGGCCUUGGUGAGCCAUUACCUCACCAACUAGCUAAUCCGAUAUCGGCCGCUCCAAUAGUGCAAGGUCUUGCGAUCCCCUGCUUUCCCCCUAAGGGCGUAUGCGGUAUUAGCUACGCUUUCGCGUAGUUAUCCCCCGCUACUGGGCACGUUCCGAUACAUUACUCCUACCCGUUCGCCACUCGCCACACGACCGAACGUCCGUGCUCGUCCGUUCGACUUGCAUGUAGUAAGGCUACUCCCGCUAGCGUUACAACUCUAGACGCCGAGGACUACAAACU